rnacentral:rRNA from 1 species
CCCUUAGAGUUUGAUCCUGGCUCAGAGUGAACGCUGGCGGCAGGCCUAACACAUGCAAGUCGAGCGGCAGCGCGGUGUAGCAAUACACUGGCGGCGAGCGGCGGACGGGUGAGGAAUGCGUCGGAAUCUGCCUCUUUGUGGGGGAUAACGUAGGGAAACUUACGCUAAUACCGCAUACGACCUACGGGUGAAAGUGGGGGACCUUCGGGCCUCACGCAGAGAGAUGAGCCGACGCCGGAUUAGCUAGUUGGCGGGGUAAAGGCCCACCAAGGCGACGAUCCGUAGCUGGUCUGAGAGGAUGAUCAGCCACACUGGAACUGAGACACGGUCCAGACUCCUACGGGAGGCAGCAGUGGGGAAUAUUGGACAAUGGGCGCAAGCCUGAUCCAGCCAUGCCGCGUGUGUGAAGAAGGCCUUCGGGUUGUAAAGCACUUUUGUCCGGAAAGAAAUCCUUCGAAUUAAUACUUCGGAGGGAUGACGGUACCGGAAGAAUAAGCACCGGCUAACUUCGUGCCAGCAGCCGCGGUAAUACGAAGGGUGCAAGCGUUACUCGGAAUUACUGGGCGUAAAGCGUGCGUAGGUGGUUCGUUAAGUCUGAUGUGAAAGCCCUGGGCUCAACCUGGGAAUGGCAUUGGAUACUGGCGACCUAGAGUGCGGUAGAGGGGUGUGGAAUUCCCGGGUGUAGCAGUGAAAUGCGUAGAUAUCGGGAGGAACAUCUGUGGCGAGGCGACACCCUGGACCAGCACUGACACUGAGCACGAAAGCGUGGGGAGCAAACAGAUAGAUACCCUGGUAGUCCACGCC